rnacentral:rRNA from 1 species
UAAGGAAUAUUGGGCAAUGGGCGAGAGCCUGACCCAGCCAUGCCGCGUGCAGGAAGACGGCCCUAUGGGUUGUAAACUGCUUUUAUACGGGAAUAAAGUUGGGUAUGUAUACUCAUUGC